CCAUUAUUCUGAAAAUUCUGUGCUUAUGUGAAAUUUUAAUGUGGAAUCUUUGUUUCACCAGGUAAUGUUAGCGUAUGUGCAACAAACCACUGUAUCAAAGAUGAUAGGAGGAAUAAUUGUGCUAUUUCUUUUUUCCUGAGCCAGUGGUAGGCAUCGUAGCUGUUUUGUUACCCGAACUGGCUAACACAGAAGCUUAACAUACAGUGAUGUCUGGCUGGCAGAUGCUUCUCUAUUGAAUAGAGUGAUUUCAUUUUUCUGCUUUUUCAAGAGCACUGUGGGAACUCUUGCACACUAGGCACAGUCAGGGAAAAUUGGGAACUCUUUGCUUGGAUUCCUGAAAUUGAAAAAUACCAAUUUUUCAGAUAAAUGUGGUUCUUUUCAGCUCUGUUUACUUUUUCCAUGGGUGAGCACUGUACUGUUUGCCGGGCUUAGACAAAUAGCAAAUAUUUCUCACACAGCAUCUAUAAAUACAUCCCACACUACAGAGCAGACACCUCAGUCCUGGGGUAGUUUCCCAGUCAAUGAUUAGUCACAGGUAAAACUGUAGCUGCAGCAGCUGUGCUUCACAGUCCUUUCUACCGUUGAUAUGACUGUUUAUUGAAGUUUUCUACAAAAAUAAAUAAAUAAAAAUAGACAUCUUAUUUCUAACUGAAUAACAAUUGCCUAACUAUAUAACUUAGCAUAUAAGCACUUUUUUCUUUACAAUAUGCAGGGAUUUAAAAGCUUGACUAUAUAUAUAUUAUUUAUUUAUUUAUUUAUUUAUUUAUUUUUCACAUUAAGCAAAGGAGUGAAAUUAAGGUAUCUCAGAUCAGCCAGCAUCUUGCUUAAGGUUAUCCUGGUUUUCAAGAUGAACAAAGAAAAACGGAUCUGAACACUGUCCAUAUCUCAUACUCUGUGCUAAGUCAGUAUGAGAGGUUCAGAUGAUUAGAUAAGGCAUCUGUGUUCAAACCCUAUGGCAAAAGAAAGCUGGCAAAAUUAUAGUAAUACUUGUAAUUUUCCACUUGAUGCCUGUGUGAUAUAGUGAUGUAAAAAGGAUGAAUUGUGUUUGUACACGGCAAAUUGUUUGAAAACAACCAGGAGUUGUCAGAAUAUCAUGAAAUUUACUAUUUGGUUUUGAAUUUUCUUGCUUUUUCUUCCUUCGUUGUGUUUCUUUCCAUCCUCCUCCUUUAGCUCGUUAUUUAGUUUAAAGGAAGUGAUCACUCGUGGUUGUGUUACUGGUAAAGAAGUGACCUCCUCCAAGCUUCCUGCUAAGCCGGCAUCCCCUCCUCCACCUGCCAUAAAGCACGUUAUAGCAUUACAGAUGGAAGAUAAUGUUCUGCACCAGUUCUGCUGUCCACCUUCGGGGUCUAGUAGUCCAUCUUCAAGAUAACAGAGAAGCUCGGGGUCGCUAAGUGUGCAGUCAGUGCUACAUCUGUAUAGUCCAUCUCUCCUCUCUAACUGGUGUGUAUGGGACUGACAUUUGCAUGGAUGCCGUAGGAUUCUUGUUCAUAUCAAGUCUGAUUUACUCAGAAUGGCACAGCCGUAAAUUUUUAUCAUCAGUGCUUAGUAAUCUUUUCUCCGUGCUUUUCUACAGCUCUCUUCCUUGUGUCCAGUAUUUGAAACACUUGCAAACUGUAAACAAUACAUAAAAUGCACUAUUUAUUUUGAAGUAAAAUAAACAGUACCAUAAGUCUUUAA